CGCACCCGCCGGGCCCGAGCUAAAAAAUGACCUUUUCCUGCUUAAUUUUGGAGGUAACCUCGCUGCGUAAUUAUAUUUGCACUUACAGAAGGCUCCAUCGGAGUUCCCUUAUUGGUUUGAAAUUCCAUUAAAUAUAUUGCAAGAGCUCCUAGGUUAAGCUUGAUUUAAAUUUGCAUACAUUUUCAUAUAUUUAGCAGAAAUAAAAGAAGGCUUGCAGCUACCAGAAAGUCAUUAAGGCAUUAGUUUCUCCGAGAAGACAGAUCUGAAGAAAAUUCAAGAAAAUAGAUAUAAAUAAGGUGGAGCUGAAUACGAUGCCCGUGUUUGUGGUUAACUACAAGCAAUAUGUUAUGAAGAUGGUGGUAUUCAGACACAUACCCAAACGAUUGGAUUCAGACAAAUUGGAUACAAAACACUGACCAGCAUGAGAAGAACAGGCAAACUGGCAGCAUUACAGAUCUGCUGGAGGAGCUCAGCAGGAGAAGAGCCAGCGCCGCACCGACAGUGUGUUUGGAGCAGAGGUCUGUGGCGGUUCAGCUCAUUGGAAACUUUUGUGCUCAAGCCAGGAGGAUGUUAUAGAUGGAGCUGCUCUGUGAGGGGAGUCAAUCCGCUCCAGUGGAGGAAUCAGCUUCUAACUGCUGCAUGGUCCCAAAGCGUAUUCUACAACCUACCGCUGAGCAUUGCAGCUAGGAGAAGUGGCCACUGGAAGUAUCAAGAAAGACAGAAAAAGGCCCAGGCAAGAAAAGCAUGGCCAAAGCCACUGAUAAACUGGUUUCAUGUGAUACGAUGAAGAACACCAGCUUGUAAAUAAGAACUGUGUGUAAUGACGUGUAAGAUGAAGGGUGAUUCGUUCAGCCCCAGGGUUCUUGAAUCCCACCGAGGAUGCACAGAGCUGAUCUCUAUGUCUGUGAUAUCUUCUGCCACUGUGUCUAACACAGAGCUGGGUUGCUGCAUCCUCAGACCAGCGAUGGGGACUGUGGGUGUGCGGCUCCCUGCACCCCUCUAACACAGCGACUCACUGCAGAGUACAGCAUCGAGGGGUGCCUCCAUGGAAGAAAAAUGAUCCUUAUGAAAAGGUGACUUUAUUUCUUGGAGCGAGAGAGAUUGGUGAGUGUAUCUUCUUGGCUUUAAUGGAGCAGUUCCAGGAAAGCAGCAGCGACCAAAGUGUUCUCAGUAUCACAUAAUUCAAGAGUAGAAUCAUAUAUCCAAUUACCAUUUCAGCCAUUUCUGGCCUUGGGAAACCUAUGCUAAUAUUUAUUAUUAUAUGAUUAACCUAUGAUUUCUUCAUCAUUUACAUUAGCAACUAUGAUAUUCAUAGUAACAUCCUCUAAAUCAUAUCAGCAGAUGUCAGCAGUGCAUGAUGAAGUCACAUCCUGCAGAUAUUUUAUUUACUUACUCCACUUUUUUUCUGGUAGAAUAACAUCGUGAGAUGCAUAAUCUCACCUCCACAGGACCUCUAGGGGCAUACAUAAUCACAGAAUGCAUUUUCUAUAAUCUUACAAAAUGAGUCAAUUCUAUCUGAGGUACAAACAGUUGUACAAAGUUGGUAUUUCACUUCCAUCACUACCUGACAUCAUGUUCCACACAGUGCAAGAAAAUAUUUACUUAGCUCUUCAGCAUGAAUUGCACACAAAGCCUUUGCAACAAAAAAAAUUAAAAAGGAAUGUCUUGAUUUGAAAACUUGCCCUUUGCUGGGUGCAGGAUUUAGACCUGUAAAUUUGUCAGAUGAAUGCCCAGACUGUCCAUAGGCACCUCUAGUCUCCGUCCUUCAGUUAAAUGAUUACAUAGAAAUCAAUCAGAGAGUUGCCUGGAAGAGCCAAAGCUGGAAGCUGAUCCUCUGUCUUCACCAUCUAAAUAUUUUCUUUGCAUAAGCAAGCAUGGUCUGUGUGAAAUAAGGUACUGCAUUUAUUUUCCAAGCUGCUUCCCAAGGCAUUUGGUUUCUGAUGCUUUUCCAUGCAAAGCACUGUAGAGCAGGCAAUAUUGACAGUACUCUCCCUGAAAACCUCUUAUUGUUCCAUACAGGCCUUACAUGAUGUUAUUCUGAUUAGCUUUAAAAUCACUUUUAAUUCUUUCUGCCCCUCCCAGCACAGGAGAGGGCAUCAACAGGCUCGUUGGGGUCAGACCGGUGAAUUCCCCGCUGGAGCCCAGAUGCUUCUGCACUGUGCAGUGAGGUGCCAAGGGCAGAAUCAGGCUUGUCACUGCUGUCAAGUAGUGUUGGUGUAAUUCCACAAAGGAAUAGUAAAUGUUUUUCAGGUUGUUCUGGUAACACAUCAAAAAGGCUUAGUUCAUAGAAUCAAAGAAGCAUUAGGUUGGAAACGACCUCUAAGAUUGCCAAAUCCAGCCAUGAGAACAAUACCACCAAUCUACUAAACCAUGUCUUGAUGUACUAUGGCUACAUAUUUUUGAACACCUACAGGGAUGGAGACUCUACCUCUUCACUGGGCAGCCUCUUCCAAUGCUUCACCCAACGCUUCACACUUUCUGGCGUCAGCCAGAGAGGGUUGGUUUUGAUCACCUGCAUCUCUCAUCCAUCGCCUUUUAAUGAAGUUAAAUUCUUCUGAACUUAUAUUGCCUUAAAGGGCUUACCUGGCUCAGCAGGUGCCAGGUUUAAGUUGUUUCAGAGAAUUUUUGGAUCAUUUUUAAUUCAAAUUUAAAUUUUUAAGCUUUGUAGCCUUUAUAAAGCCUGUCAGGCAGUGGACUCUUUUCUACUCUCUGGGCAUGCAAGCCCAAAAGUUCUCUCUCAUUUCUAGGUGUAAGGUGAGGUAAAAAGGUUAGAACAGACCUACGCCAGGUUUCUGAAGACUGGCAGUGUAUAAUAAUCAUUAACAGUUUCUGUAACGGUGCAGGUCACAGGCACCGGACCAAACACCUGCAGGGAACCUCCUCAGGCGAAAUUCUCCUUGGCUUCAAUCAUGGGUUUGCUGGAGAAGAGACUGCCGGCUGCGCUCAUGGCCAUCUGCAUGCUCCUGGCUUAAGAGAUACUUAUAAUCUACUUCUAAGAGAAUUAUUAGCAAUGUAAAAAUGAAUUUGAAGCAAGAAAACUAUUCUUCCUAGAAGAAAUAUUUUUUGUACAAUUAGUUUUGCUGACAGAAGUAAAUUGGGCUAAAUCCUUGUGACUAGGGAUGUUAUUUGUUGCCCCUUAUCUUACCAAAGCAAAGGCUGCCCAGUAGUCAGACUUUGUAAAUAAUUGUUUCCAAAGUGUUUUUUUUUUCUCUCUCUAAAUUCUUCAGAGAAAAGCUGGCUUCUAAUCCUUUCUCUUCUAAAGCUUUUACAGCUCAGCUUCUUCCAACUCUAGAUAUCUUUUAUUUUCCCUUCUUGGGUUUCAAUAUUUCUUAGAUAUUAUAAAAGUCUCUUUUAAGAGUAAAUCUAGAGCUUUUGCUCAGAUUGGAAAAGUUAUUCUUCAAGCUUUAAUAGGUUGGAGAGAGAGAAUAAAAACCCCAAAUGAACUUUAUUUUGAACUGCCAUAAAUGCUGGGGCUGGAGCUUGGAGACAGGUGUCCAAGAGCCUGACCAGUGCCCAGAACAGGGAUCCUGGCCAUCAGUCUUGCCUUUUUUUCUUGUUUUUGUACCUGGCUGGUGCAAACAGCUGUCAGAAGAGUUGACUCUUUACUGCUUGUUCUGGGCUGGACAGGAGCCAGGAGCAGCUCUGCCCCCACUGUCCCACAUCCACCAGUGCUCACUGUGCCCUCCGGUGCUGAGGAAAGGGGUGUGGUUUUCUGGCAAACACAAUUUUUCUCAUUUUUAUUUCACUUUUGCAACCGCAGCAACAAAUAUUAACCUAGAAACUGGACAGAAACCUCUCCCAGAGGGUGCAUUAUAAAAGCAAUGUCAGAAGGCUGCAGGAAAUCCACAUUUAUUUGCAUAAAACCAAGCAAACUCGCGGAUGUGGAAACACUGAAAUGCUGGAAAAGCAAGACAUGACUUACUCCAUCAUCCUGGAAAGCUAAAGACGAAUGGUUUUGCUUAUCUGUCUAUCUGCUAUCUAAUUGUUUGCUUCUUUGGCAAAAGACAGAAAUAAUGAGACAUGCAUGUCUCUAAUUGAAGCAGGUACCUCUAAUUGAAGCAGGUAUUGAAGAGGGGUAUGGUUUGGGCAGAACUGUACAGCCCAGAAAAAUAAAUGACAGAUUUCCACGCUUGCACUGCCACUGGGGUGGGUAUUAAAUCCUGGUCUUCAGAUGAAGGCAGCAACUGAAACGGAGGAGCAGCAAAAAACAGGCAUCUGUGGGGAACUUCUGGAGGCACAGGAGCUUCAUAGUGGAUCCCAAGGGAAGGAUCUUUUUUGAGACACCUUGUUGGAUCAAUCUCAAACCAAGCACGCAAACCCCUCAUGGACAACAUAGGGCUCAUCAACCCUUCGCCAAUCCAAAUCUAGCAGCUCCUGAGGGACGCUGAAGUGUUUGUGCCGUGGUGCCGUUCCACAGCAGUCUUCUGGCCCCAGGGUGGGGAAAUGGAUUCAUGUUAAGCUCAGCCAUACAUCUUCUUGAGUCUUUGAGUAAGAGUUUGAUGGUUGGAGGCUCCCACCAAGGCUGAUCUUCCCUCCUUCCCCUCCUCCAAAGCCAGUGGUUUCAGGUCUUAGAUGCCACCACCAGCCCACCAGGUGCCUGGUUUUAGUUUGCUCCCUGACCCACCUGAAGUGGUGAAGGAAUUUAAAAUUCCAGUAUUUUUCCUGAGAUAAAAAAGCAGUCCAUGAUUUCUAAGAAGGCACUUUACAGCAGAGCCCAAAUGGGAAUGUUUGCAUUUGAUACCAUCCAUCAACACCGAGACACUGAGGGAGCGGCUCCUCCAGCUCCUCUCAUCGGGGUGGACAGAAGGAGCUGUCAGGGAGCCGCGUGCGGCCGCCGCGUUGAGUGGGGCAGGAGCCGUGCUGGCAGAGAUCCCUUCCGCAGAGGGGAUUUCUGCACUGACAAUUUUUGGCUCCUUUAGGUUACUUUGGAUCUGCACAGAAUAUGUAAUGCUCUGCACUCGCGGAGGGGCUGACAGGGAACUUAAAUACAAAUUGCAAAGAUAGAUCAUCUCCCAGCAUCACUUUGUUUUCUGCUGCUCUAAAAUCAUUUUGCUUGUUCCUGCAGCUACUAUAAAGCCAGAAGAGCUCUCUAUAUUUGCUUCCCGGAUGCCUUUUUCUCCUCUGCUUACAACUAUAAAAGCAGCUUUUCAUGCUCCAAAUCAGAGAUAAAUUGAAAUUGCUGCUGAAGAAAUAAAACACAAGGCUAAUCAAAUUGUAGCACAGGAAGCAGCCUUCAUCCAGUGCAUUUUUUGAGAGCUAUUUUUAGAAUAUAUUUUUAUGUUGUCACUCCAUAUGGGAAGUCAAAUCCAUAUGGUUUGGGAGAAUGGAAGGUUGUGCUUUUGAAGAGAUCUCGCAAACUGUCCCUGCUCAGCUACGUACUUAACCACGGGCUUAAAUCCAAUAGUCUGUGAUGGGACUGAAGAGCACGAACCCCUCGCUGACUGGGGCCUCAGGCCCUGUCUGAGGUUGUAAGAGUAUUACUCCCUCCUGAGAUGUAAAACUCUUCUAUAUUCGUUAAACUGCUCUCCAGCUAACUUGGCUCCUCUUAAUUACAAUGUCCCUUAUGCAUACACCUUCCUUUUUUUUCUUCUUUUUAAUUUCUUCAUUUCUUCUCCAUCGUUUGGAUGCCCUGAUGAAUGCUUUUGGUCCAAGACAGCAGGAUGUGAUGCUGAACUUCCACAGCCAUCGCUCUCCUGCUUUUUGCAGUACAUGUUUCUACCCUGCAAAUACCAAGAUCCAUGUGGUGUUGGGGAACAGGACCGUAUUCUGCCCACAAAACUACGGCACCGUCUGAGUAUGCUGAGGAAGCAGUAAUUGGCUAGAAAAGGAAACAAUCCUCCACCCUUUUUUUUGAAUAAAGUGCAGUGAGAAUAGGACUGCACAGUGGAGAAUUCGGCGUAGCAGAAGGAUGGGAAACCUGAAGAUUUCUGAAAUGGUUUUGAUGCUGCCUCCACCAAGCAGAAGUACCACAAUUAUUGAUCAAAACUGAGACCUCAUAUGGAUUAUUUUAUUGGAAAGCCAAGAAAACAACCACUGAUUCCCCACUCCCCAUUCCACCUCCAAAAGUAAAGCAACGAUAUUGUGUAAGAGGAGGGAAUGUUAAAAUAACUAAGCAGCAGAAAAGCCUGCAAGGAAAAGCCUGAGGUUAUAGCAGAAACUGUCAAUAUGAAGCCAUAUUCACAUCAUAGAAUUUUUUAGGUUGGGAAAGACCUUUAAAAUCAAGUCCAGCUGUAGGACUUUCUAUUCAAAAUCUAUGACCAUUUUGAACUCAAACUAGCUAUUGUUAAAUUAUUUGCUCAAAAUAGCUUUACAGUCAGGAAAACCUUCAUGGCUUGUAUCCCACCUGAAGAAAUGUAUUCUACACCCUCCGGAAAUGCCCUAAAUCACCUGGAUUCCUGACGCUUGGGUGUGCUGCAGUCAGAUGCAAGUAGCUGGGUUUUCCCAGAAAUGUUAUUCUGGAACAUUUGAAUAACACACCAUUUGGACCAGGUACUUGGGUUGUGUGUGUGAGGUGGGUACGUCAGUGCUCUGAGGCGGACUUCGUGAUGUGGCUGCAUUUCGUGUACAUCACUCAGCACAGAUGGACAUCGUGGCCCUGGUAAAGCCAACCAAGAGUUUACCAGUGACAUCAGUGGAACCAGAAAUUCAUCCCAGGCUGGGAGCAGCUGAGGGAGAGUGCCACGGGCUGGUGACCUGCAGCAAUUUCAAGUCAGUGACAUAGAAGUGAAAAAACUCCUUGUCACACAACCGAUCUCAUUGGCAACCCAGGGUACCCAAAUUUCACUUGGGAUUUUCUACCGGGUUUCCAUUGACGUCGCAGCUAUGUUGAUAAUGGAUUAGGGCAUUAUUCUUGAAGAAGUAAAGAAAUAAUUUCUUUAAGAGAUGGGCUAUUUGUAGAAGAUAUUUGCGUAAUUUUGCAUUCUAAAUGUGAUUUAUAUUUAUAAAUAAAUUUGCAUUAAAUCUCCA